CCAAUUAGCACUUGACAUAUUUGAAUGUUGGCAACUAGAAGCUUCUAUAUGGUUGCAAUGAUUCAGUAUGCAUCAAUUCUAUUUGACCUCUCCUUGCACCAAUUGGAGAGCUCCACUAAACACAAUAUGGCAGCAAGUAAACCCACUUAAGCAAGUAAACUAAGUGAAUGAGGACACAGAUUUGGUUCACAGAUUUCAUCUAUUUGUUAAGAAAGAAUUCCACAACAUUCUCAAACUCUUUCUCUCGCCCUUUCCAUCUUGUCCUUCACAGUCACAACCACCACCACCACCACUUGUGAGGGAGUGGCCGAGUGAGAGAAGAUUUCCCGGCGGAAAACAGAGAGUUUCGGCCGAGGAAGAGAGAGUUCCGACUGAGAUAAAGAGUUCCGGUGGCGUUUUGCGGUAACACGGCGGUGACGGCGGUGAAGGAGCUUCUUUCUCCUUCUUUCCUCUGGCUUUAUGAAAGAGGAAGCUCAGUUUCAAUUUUUGGGUUCUCAGUUUUAGGUUUGGUUUAUGUUUUUCUGUUUCUUUGCUGGUUUUCCUUCUAUUUUUCCUGUAUCAUUCUUGCUGAUUUGUUCAUCAUCGUCUUGCAAAGAAAUAGAAGCCUCAUCCCAUCAAUUUGAGUUAUAGUUAUUUAGAUUAAAAAUACAUUCUACUUAGGUUACGAACAAUAGAAGUUUUAUCAUGUUAUUAUCUUCUUGAUUAUGAAUGAUGACAGAUUUAAUAAGUUUGAUUGAUGGAACAAUGACAAAUUUAAAAGUUUGAAACAAUUUUUAGUGUUUUAAUAAGUAUGAAACAAUUUCUUGGUCAUAGUAAAUAAUAAAUAAUCUCUUUUAUUGUAAUAGUUAAAAGAUGAUUUGUUGAGAAUGGUUAAAUAAAACACCUUCAAACAAACUCCAUCCUUGCUGAUUUUUAUUGUGUAUGUGUUGUUGGUGUUGGAAUUGCAACAAGGUAACUAGAAUCAAAGUGUGAUAAGAUUAAGGUAACUAAUCACGAAGUAAUUUGGAGGAGUAUCAAAGAUACUAGAACAGCCAAGAAGCAUCUGGUGCGGAGAUAAAAAGUAGACUGUGCAUUUUGAUGUCAAUUCAAUGGUGAGAAAUUUAUUUCAAAUCUGCUAGGUGUGUGGAAAAAGGUAACAAAUCUAUUCCUUUAUGAUAUGUUUGGUGUGUAGAAAAAGGUUAGAAAUUUAUUUUCUUCAAUUGUUUAUGAUUCUCAUUAUAUUAGAAGGUAAGAAAUUCAAAAUUGUUUUGAAUUCAUAACUAACUUGAUGGUUGGUGUUUUUACAGGGCCUUGGUUUUACUCAUACUGGACUUAUUCCAUAUUGAGUUUUGUUCCUUAUUUUUUAUUUUGUUCCUUUUUUAGUUUGUAAAUGUUAUUGUUUUCCCUUUUUAUCGUCUCAUUUUGCCCCUUCUUAAGGUAAUUUUCAGAGAUUGUUUUAUACUAUAGCGCUCAAUAUUCUUUUUGAAUGAUUUCUUUUUUAGAAAUUGGUUUAUACUAUAACAGGUUUUGAAGACUAUAACAGAAAAAGUGGGCACUGAUGGUUUCUUUCAUAACUGAAUGGGCAAUUAUGACAUCAAUGAAUUCACGGGGCUGUGCAACUACACUUUAAGGAAUGAAGAGUUAGGAAUGAAAUAGGAGUGACAAUUUUGGUUGCUAGAGGGAUGAGAAACCCAGUUUUCCUGAGGAAGUUCAUAUUCAUAAAGAGCAUAUGAUUUCAGAACCUUUGGAACCAUCACCCAUGCCUGGAGAUGCAAGAGUAUUUGGAGAUGAUUUCUAUCCCAUUAACAGCAAGCUGGAAAAAGCAGAUGUUGAUGCAUCAAUUAAAUUACCUAUGAAUGAAAAAGAGAAUAGUACAAGGGAGAAUAACGUCGCUAUGAUUAAAGUUGU